UACAGAGGGUGCAAGCGUUUAAUCGGAAUUACUGGGCGUAAAGCGUGCGUAGACGGUUAUGUAAGUCAGAUGUGAAAGCCCCGGGCUUAACCUGGGAAUGGCAUUUGAGACUGCAUAGCUAGGGUGCGGAAGAGGGAAGCGGAAUUUCCGGUGUAGCGGUGAAAUGCGUAGAUAUCGGAAGGAACACCAGUGGCGAAAGCGGCUUCCUGGUCCAGCACCGACGUCAGGCACGAAAGCGUGGGGGAGCAAACAGG
rnacentral:rRNA from 1 species